rnacentral:rRNA from 1 species
GACGAACGCUGGCGGCGUGCUUAACACAUGCAAGUCGAACGGAAAGGCCCUGCUUUUGUGGGGUGCUCGAGUGGCGAACGGGUGAGUAACACGUGAGUAACCUGCCCUUGACUUUGGGAUAACUUCAGGAAACUGGGGCUAAUACCGGAUAGGAGCUCCUGCUGCAUGGUGGGGGUUGGAAAGUUUCGGCGGUUGGGGAUGGACUCGCGGCUUAUCAGUUUGUUGGUGGGGUAGUGGCUUACCAAGGCUUUGACGGGUAGCCGGCCUGAGAGGGUGACCGGCCACAUUGGGACUGAGAUACGGCCCAGACUCCUACGGGAGGCAGCAGUGGGGAAUAUUGCACAAUGGGCGGAAGCCUGAUGCAGCAACGCCGCGUGCGGGAUGACGGCCUUCGGGUUGUAAACCGCUUUCGCCUGUGACGAAGCGUGAGUGACGGUAAUGGGUAAAGAAGCACCGGCUAACUACGUG